CGGAGGAAAAGAAACCAACAGGGAUUGCCUCAGUAACGGCGAGUGAAGCGGCAAAAGCUCAAAUUUUAAAGCUGGCAUCUUCGGUGUCCGCGUUGUAAUUUUGUGAGGCAUCUCCGGGCAGGGCGCCGGCCUAAGUUCCUUGGAACAGGACGUCACAGAGGGUGAGAAUCCCGUGCUUGGCUGGCUGUCCCCGUCCAUGUGAGGUGUCUUCGACGAGUCGAGUUGUUUGGGAAUGCAGCUCAAAAUGGGUGGUAAAUUUCAUCUAAAGCUAAAUAUUGGUGGGAGACCGAUAGCGCACAAGUAGAGUGAUCGAAAGAUGAAAAGCACUUUGAAAAUAGAGUUAAAAAGUACGUGAAAUUGUUGAAAGGGAAGCGCUUGAGACCAGACUUCGGUAGGGGGUGAUCAGCCGUCCUUCUGGGCGGUGCACUUGCCCCCCUCCGGGCCAGCAUCGGUUGAGGCGGCGGGAUAAAGGUCCCGGGAAUGUGGCUCCUUCACGGGAGUGUUAUAGCCCGGGUGAAUGCCGCCAGCUUCGACCGAGGACCGCGCCCGCAAGGGUUAGGAUGCUUGGCAUAAUGGUCUUCAGCGACCCGUCUUGAA
rnacentral:rRNA from 1 species